AUCCUUCUGGUUCUAGAGCAUGAUGUGUGGGUGGUCACAUGGCUGUGUGAGAUGUGUUGUCCUAGCUGUUAUGACUUGACACAUGACCCUUCUGAUC